rnacentral:rRNA from 1 species
AUUGAACGCUGGCGGCAGGCUUAACACAUGCAAGUCGAGCGAGCGGCGGACGGGUGAGUAAUGUCUGGGAAACUGCCUGAUGGAGGGGGAUAACUACUGGAAACGGUAGCUAAUACCGCAUACCAUCAGAUGUGCCCAGAUGGGAUUAGCUAGUAGGUGGGGUAAAGGCUCACCUAGGCGACGAUCCCUAGCUGGUCUGAGAGGAUGACCAGCCACUCUGGAACUGAGACACGGUCCAGACUCCUACGGGAGGAAGCAGUGGGGAAAAUUGCACAAUGGGCGCAAGCCUGAUGCAGCCAUGCCGCGUGUAUGAAGAAGGCACUCGGGUUGUAAAGUACUUUCAGCGGGGAGGCGUUACCCGCAGGAGAAGCACCGGCUAACUCCUUGCCAGCAGCCGCGGUAAUUC